GACGGAGGGGGCAAGCGUUGUUCGGAAUUAUUGGGCGUAAAGGGCUCGUAGGCGGAUCCGCCAGUCUGACGUGAAAUCUCCACCGCUCACCGGGGAGGGGCCGUUGGAUACUACGGAUCUGGAGUUCGGCAGAGGACCAUGGAAUUUCGGGUGUAGCGGUGGAAUGCGCAGAUAUCAGGAGGAACACCAAUAGCGAAGGCAGCUCGCUGGGACGGUACUGACGCUAAGGCGCGAAAGCGUGGGGAGCGAACAGG
rnacentral:rRNA from 1 species